UACAGAGGUGGCAAGCGUUGUUCGGAAUUACUGGGCGUAAAGGGCGCGUAGGCGGUUCGUUAAGUCCUGUGUGAAAUCCCCCGGCUCAACUGGGGAACUGCACAGGAAACUAGCGGGCUUGAGUUCGGGAGAGGGAAGCGGAAUUCCGGGUGUAGCGGUGAAAUGCGUAGAUAUCCGGAGGAACACCGGUGGCGAAGGCGGCUUCCUGGACCGACACUGACGCUGAGGCGCGAAAGCGUGGGUAGCAAACAGG
rnacentral:rRNA from 1 species